rnacentral:rRNA from 1 species
AACGAACGCUGGCGGCAUGCCUAACACAUGCAAGUCGAACGAAGCCUUCGGGCUUAGUGGCGCACGGGUGCGUAACGCGUGGGAAUCUGCCCUUGGGUCUGGAAUAACAGUUAGAAAUGACUGCUAAUACCGGAUGAUGACUUCGGUCCAAAGAUUUAUCGCCCAGGGAUGAGCCCGCGUCGGAUUAGCUAGUUGGUGAGGUAAAAGCUCACCAAGGCGACGAUCCGUAGCUGGUCUGAGAGGAUGAUCAGCCACACUGGGACUGAGACACGGCCCAGACUCCUACGGGAGGCAGCAGUGGGGAAUAUUGGACAAUGGGCGCAAGCCUGAUCCAGCAAUGCCGCGUGAGUGAUGAAGGCCUUAGGGUUGUAAAGCUCUUUUACCCGGGAUGAUAAUGACAGUACCGGGAGAAUAAG